UCUCAUGUCUGUUCACAUGUCUGUGAUCGUGUACGUAGACGCCAUGUUGACUGUGUCAGCCUGUCGCAGCAAUUCGUCAACAUCGCCACCAUAUUGGAAAGGAUAAGACUUACCAGUGAACAAAUUCAGAUCAUUUAACUUGAAGACCACAUCUAUAAUGCAUCAUGAAGCUCUUCAUAGUGUCAUGAGCCCAUUGUCGGUGAGUGACCUCCCUCUGACUGUCAGCUGAGCUCAGGUGAGGAGAGGACAAACAGGAAGUGAGUUGAGUAAAGGAGGAGCUAAAGUCCAGAGGGAGUGAGACGAAACCAACUUGUUUCAUCAGGUCAGAUUAUUUUUCUCUUCAGCAGAAACAUUUCCUGAUGGUUUGUGUUAUUGUUCACUGGCGCACGAUAAAUAUGCUCUGAUUGUGUUGUUAAUGUGCUAACUGGCUAACUAGCAUCAAGACGCUCUUUCUGUUGAUGAAUACAGACGACCGCCGUCUGCUGCUGUGGUGAGUUAUU